GAUGCUCAAAUUCAAGAUAGACGUUAUCUAUCAAUCUAGCUCUCUCUUUCUGUCUCUCUCUCUCUCGAUUAAAAACUUAAUAACAGCAUUACAUAAUCAUUAAAUAGCAGACCGAUCAUCUAUGCUGCAAAUGCAAAUGAAAUAGAAAUGGACAGUAAACAGGGUUUAUCUAAAUCGUUACAAAAGGGUUUAAUGUAUAUAUGUAUUUAUAAGGUGCUUCUGAAUUCUGAAUACUUUUUUUUUUCUAAACAGGUUCUUCAUCAAUCAACCUAUUAUUGCUUCCUACAUCUGCUUUUUGAAAAACUCCCAAAGGCACUUUUAAGAGCCACGUCAGUCUGUUUGUAUCUGUUCUUACUGCUGUCCUUAUUGGUCUGUCUGUCUGUUUCUAUCCGCAUUUUUGUCUCUUUAACUCUUCAGCUUUUUUGUUUUUGUCAGUGUGCUGCCUUUUCUGUGUGUAAUUAUUCUUUGUUUCAACAUGACACGCCCCAAAUUCAGGCCCUGUACAUCUUGCCAGACUCCCAAUCAGGCAAGCAGAAGAACCUGCUGUGUCUGCUUCGGAAGUCUGUCCACCAAAAAGAAGCUAAAAGAAAAAGUAGAAUCAUUGGAUAGCCAGUGGGCGCAAGUUGUCUUGAAAAACAGAAAUGUUGGCCGGAUAAUUGAUUCUGCCCGUAUUGCAGUGCGGAAACUUGAGUCUAUAGGCUACAAGCCCAUUUUAUUUAUUGGCAAAAAAGACAAGGAUUCACAUAAGUGGGUAGCAGAUGUUAUUACCCAUUUGGACCCCACUUCUACUCCAAGAAAUUUCCUGGAGAAGAUGCAGAGGGCUUAUGAAUUUAUACUGUCUAAGGGAACCUCCACACCAGUGCACCCCAAUACCCCCACAGAACAGCAGCUUGUGCAGUCCAAGAAUGCCACCAAGGAGCAUUGUGCCGACAAACAGACCCACAUCAAAGAGCACGCAGAGAUCCCCAGUGAAGAACAGGCAGAGACCCUGAUCAACAAGCAAGCAGAGAGCCUCGCCAAGGAGCAGCCUGAGAUGACCACCCAGGAACAUCAAGCUUCUAGGCUCCUCGAGGAGCACCCAAAGAGCCUGUCAGACGAGCAGACAGAGACUGAUUUUGUUCUCAAUCUUGUUCCUUUAUCUCCUUCUUCUGUUCCAUGCUCCCAGUCUUUCCAAAAAAAGAAGAGAGACAGAAGCACCGCACAAACAACCUCUCCCACCUCUCCACCACCUUUUAAACCCGCAGACCAGCCAUCUCUGCAGUCUCUUCAUCCACCUGCUAGCCACGCGAUCUCCCAGUCCUUAAGUCAAGGGUGGCCAACAUGAAAAUAAGAAGAGAAAGAGCUGUUGAAGAUGUAGUAGGCAGAAGGUGUUCCAGUUUGAAGCAGUCACUGAGAGCACGAUAAAUGAGGGGAAUGCAGAAGUAAAAGUGCGUUGGUUGCCUUGCUCUGUUUGUGGGAAAAUCUGGGAUGACACGUGGGAGCCAGCCAGUGAAUUUCAACACCACUUUGCCAUGCCAGAUGUGCCACCUCCUUCAGCCACUGAGGAAGUCUUUUUAUGAUGUUGUGAUGAUUGUUUUUCCAUGUUACAAACAAGUAACAUAUAAUGUCUGAAAACUGCAGUUGUGUAUUGUCUACAAGGAACACUUUCAGAAAUAUGUGGAACCAAAGGUCCAUACAUCCAGAUGUCACACUGAUCUUCUCUGUUCACAGACAGGAUAUGUUCAUUUUCAGCAGUUUGAUUGUUUAGAAACGUUAGACAAAUAUUUAUACUUGUUUAAAUGCAUUGUGUUACGUAAAAAAAAGACUUUAUCUUAUGUUGUUAACUACAAUAGUAGUUCUGUGUUCUUAACUUGAAUGUUUUUGUACAGCAUUCAUAUUUGCUACAUUCUUUAAAAAGUGAGUGUAGACUGUUAAAAUUGUUACGGUGAAUAUGACCCGCAGCUAGCAACUGAAUCCAUAAAACCCAUCAGUCUGUUUCCCUUUGUUUCUCAUAUGAAGUUGUUAUUGUAAACAGGUGGUUUGUUUAGUUUGAAAUAUGAAGGCUGGUGAAAUUGUACUGAGUACUGUCAAUGAAAAGUAAAAUAAAAAAUCAAAGGUUUAUUGA